CAACCCUUCUCAAGCUCCCGCCCUUCUUUCGCCUUCAUCAUCACUUUCCUUGUACUCCAAUUUUUUAUUCAUAUUUUUCCCAAUUAUUUCCUUCAAUUCAAUCAAUUUGAAUCCAAAACCCUAAAUCUGAAUUCCUGAUACCACUAAAAAUUGGACCAAGGUUCUAGGGUUUCUCUGCUAUUCCGAAAACCCUAAUUAAAACUUGCCAUUUUUGUCUCUUACUCCACUGGCUAAAGCUAAAGGUUGAAUAUUGCUGAAGAUCCACAAGAGUUCACUUUCUCAGCGGAAUAAGACUAUGAGAGUCUUUGUGAAAGUCUAUAUCUUUCUGGAUUACAACAGUGUGAGGUUUGGGGCUUGAGAUAUUUCAAUUGAAAUUGAUCUGAAACCGUUUGAAAAUUUUGACAUGGAUAACGAGGUGAUUGAGUUUGAUAUUGGGCUGGGAGGAGGGGGAGGCCGGGAUGGGGAAGAUGAUUUUGUAGACAUUGAGCAUCCUGUCGAUGAUGAGGAAAUGGUUGAUAGUCCUCUUCUGGGGAGUGGCACUGGCAGUGGCAGUGGUAUUGUUUUCGG
rnacentral:sRNA from 1 species